rnacentral:rRNA from 1 species
GCACAAGCGGUGGAGCAUGUGGUUCAAUUCGACGCAACGCGAAGAACCUUACCUGGGCUCGAAGCGCACUGGAAUCCGGUGGAAACAUCGGCGCCCCUUAAAAGGCCGCUGCGGAGGUGCUGCAUGGCUGUCGUCAGCUCGUGUCGUGAGAUGUUGAGUUAAGUCCCGCAACGAGCGCAACCCUUAUCCCUAGUUGCCAUCAGGUCAAGCUGGGCACUCUAGUGAAACUGCCUCGGAUAACGAGGAGGAAGGUGGGGAUGACGUCAAGUCCUCUUGGCCUUUAUGUCCAGGGCUACACACGUGCUACAAUGGACGGUACAGAGAGUCGCGAGACCGUGAGGUGGAGCUAAUCUCAAAAAGCCGUUCUCAGUUCGGAUUGCACUCUGCAACUCGAGUGCAUGAAGUUGGAACCGCUAGUAAUCGCGGAUCAGCACGCCGCGGUGAAUACGUUCCCGGGC